rnacentral:rRNA from 1 species
AUUGAACGCUGGCGGCAGGCCUAACACAUGCAAGUCGAACGAGUGGCGGACGGGUGAGUAAUGUCUGGGAAACUGCCUGAUGGAGGGGGAUAACUACUGGAAACGGUAGCUAAUACCGCAUACCAUCGGAUGUGCCCCGAUGGGCUUAGCUAGUAGGUGGGGUAAAGGCUCACCUAGGCGACGAUGCCUCGCUGGUCUGCGAGGAUGACCGGCAACACGGGAACUGAGACACGGUCCAGAGUCCUACGGGAGGCAGCAGUGGGGAAUAUUGCACAAUGGGCGCAAGCCUGAGGCAGCCAUGCCGCGUGUAUGAAGAAGGCCUUCGGGUUGUAAAGUACUUUCAGCGGGGAGGCGUGACCCGCAGAAGAAGCACCGGCUAACUCCGUGCCAGCAGCCGCGGUAAUUC